rnacentral:rRNA from 1 species
AGCAAACUAGCGGCGAACGGUCGCGUAACACGUAGGCAACCUGCCUCAAAGUCCGGGACAACAUUCCGAAAGGGGUGCUAAUACCGGUUGUGGCCUGCGGGGGGCAUCCUCUGCAGAUUAAACCGAGCAAUCGGCUUUGGGAGGGGCUUGCGGCCUAUCAGCUAGUUGGYGGGGUAACGGCCUACCAGGGCGACGACGGGUAGCUGGUCUGAGAGGACGAUCAGCCGGACUGGGACUGAGAUACGGCCCAGACUCCUACGGGGGGCAGCAAUUAGGAAUCUUGCACAAUGGGGGCAACCCUGAUGCAGCGACGCCGCGUGGAGGAGGAAGUCCUUCGGGAUGUAAACCCCUUUUACCAGGGAAGAAACAAAUGACGGUACCUGGUGAAUAAGCCCCGGCUAACUACGUGCCAGCAGCCCGCGGUAAUACGUAAGGGGGCGAGCGUUGUCCGAAGUUACUGGGCCGUANAGCGCGCCGUAGGCGGGCUAUUAAGUGAGAAGUGAAAGGCUGGGGCUCAACCCCAUGCAGUGCUUUUUCAUACUGUUAGUCUU